CUAUGACUAAAAAUGUUUAAUUUAAUUGAGUGUUUUUAAUUGUAAACGGGACAUUUCUUGAAGAAGUUGGCUUCAAUAAUCUUCUCUAAUUUUUGCCGCUGUUACAAUCAUUCUUAGCAUUUAGCGUUAAGUCAUAAUUGGUGUUUAAAAAAUAAAUAAAUAAUAAUUUAAGCAAAAUCUCUUUUCUCUAAACCCUCUCUUUCCACAGUUUCCCACCGCCGGAAUACGCGGCACAUAACAGAGACAUCACCCUGGUACCGCGGGACGCUCGUCUACCUCCAGGCGCCUAAGGGACACUUGCUGGCUGCUCGGUGCUGCCAGGAUCCAGACAGUCCGGUUUCUUUUCUGUGCGAGUCAGUCAGACCUCCUCAACCCCCCAACUCCCCGAGCCCCCGUCACUCCUACCUCCGCCUAAUUACCAAACCUAAAACCCCACUCGACUAAUUAGCCACAGCAGACCCAAGAACUGUGAGUAAAGACAGGAGCCCUAACGCUGCAGGAUGGAGAAAGGUGAACAGGAAACAGAAGGUGCCCAUGGAGGAGGUAUAUGACAUCUGUCAGGAUCCAGGGUGGGUGGAGGAUUCAGCGCCCCCCCCUCCGCCGGCUGAGGGUCACCCAUCGCACCGCAGUCGCACAAGUUGUCACGACACCCUGACACUUCCUUGGCAAUGGUGGCCGCAAGCCGGACAGCCCCGGACGUUCAAGACACACACGGCUCUGGAUGGACGAAGGUCAGCUGCCACGGCAAGGUCGACAAACAAACAAACAAACAAAGAGCGAAACAGAAGGAAUUAAUAAAGAGAGAAAAACAGAGCAGGUGAAACGUGGCAGAGGGUUUUUAUCGCUGUGAGGCUGAUUGCAUGUAGCAGCCAUUACUCUCUGUUGUGUCCUCUGCCCCCCAUUGGCCGCGACAACACCGCCUGGCAGGACUGCCAGUGUCACGUCAUCUCAUACGUCUGCUUAACCACGCGGGCGACAAAGGCCACCUCGCAGCCGGGCCGCUCGCCCCCCCCCCCUCCCCCCCUCGUGGCGGCAAAGGUCGUUCACACUUGGUUUGAUAAAAAAUAUUUUUCUGAGUGAGUUUAAAUAACAUCUUGUAGCUUUUAUUAUCUCCAUAGGGGGGGGGGGGGUUAAACAAACAUCCUCACAAAAAAUAUUCAUCAUUGCAUGGUUGCACACUCACUACCACUUCUAUAACUUUGUUUUUUUAACAAGGUGGCCAUUUGGUUUGAUUGUCUGACUAAUUGGAGCAUGUUCUCUCUAAGACCUUUUUCAUAAUUCAUCACAUACACCAAAUAAUGAUCCAUAUUCAGCUGCAGGUCAUUGCCUCUUUGUGGAUUGGGAGCUUUGACUGAUGAGAUUUUAGAUGCAAUUGAGAAUUAUGGAUAAACUAAAAUUCUGCACACUAACUACGUCCCACAGAGGGGGGGCUUCAAUUCUUAAGCAAAUUGAAGCAAACUGGUUUACAUGUCCCACAUUUAUCUUGCAUAGUGUGGUGGCCACAUACAAGUAGGGCAGAAAUCUCACAAAGCAAAAAAGAAGCCUCUUUGACUCAGUGUAUCAAUAUUUUCUUUUAAGGCAUAUGCCGUAUAUAUUCACAAGUCAGGGCCAUAUUAUGCUUUAAAGUAUAGUAAUGUAACGUAACUAGGGCCGGGACUCGAUUAAAAAUAUGAAUCUAAUUAACUAGAGACUUUGUAAUUAAUUAAUCCAAAUUAAACGCAGUUUAAUUGCAUAAAUAUUUGUAACAGUAACAAUAACAGUGAGAAGUAAUUUUUUUCACAUGGAUUUUUAUUUUUGUUGAACCAAUUCCAGCAGACAAGUGUAGAAAUAGCAUAUUUAGAAAUAUAGUACUUUCAGAAAUUCAGGUAGCCUAUAGGUAAGUAGACCUUCUGUAAACUAGGUUUUUUUAAGUAGACCAAUACUUUCAAGUACAUUCAGAACAUUGGUUAUUUUUUCAGACGUGGACUUAGUUACCCUGGUCCUUAAACCAGUCAUCUGGUUUAAUCGUAAUUAACGCACUAAAGUCCCGGCCCUAAUUUUAAAUUAAACAAACAGUGACACUGUGAAUCAUCGUGAGUUCUAGUUUCUCUAGUGGAAUCAAAGCUGACCUUCCUGAUCCACAUUUGGGAUUUGAUUCUCUCUCCUCAAGGUGCCGUGUGUCAAACGUGUUUAUUUCUCCUGGGAUUUAUUCUCCACUCAGCUGAGGAGGACCCUCAGACUGGUUUAGCUCCAUAGGGGAGUCGGUAUGGAUCCUCUCAAUUCACACGCGGGCAUCAGCACACAUGUCGAAAAAAGUGAAAUAAGGAUCACACCAUAAAAGUAGUGAAAUCAACUAGGGCUUUAUAAGAAAUGCCAUUAUAUGACUUUACUUGACCUGCAAUUCUAUUAUAACGGUAUGGAACGGUUGUGGAUUCCAGCCUGAGAAUCUAUGAGAAUUGAGGUUGGAUUCAAAAGCAUCAACAGGUGUGUGGUGGAACAGUGCAGGGAGAUAGCAGGAAGGCUGAAGUGUAGAGGAUCCUCAGUUCAAACCUUCUCUCUCAGAAGGAGGGUUUGAGCCUUUGGCUUUAUUUCAGGUUUGAGUAGCAAUCUCAAGGUUAAAUACAAAAAAACAAAGGUUUGGUUAGUGUGUGGUGAAUUAGCACAGCGGAAGAGCUGCUGCCACCAGCCUGCAAUGCAUUUGGCGGUUGUGGGGUCAAGCCCAGUCUUGGGUUUGAGCCUUUGGCUUUACUUCAGGUUUGAGUAGCAAUCUCAAGGUUAAAUACAACAAACAAAGGAUCGGUUAGUGUGUGGUGAAUUAGCACAGCGGAAGAGCUGCUGCCACCAGCCUGCACU